rnacentral:rRNA from 1 species
AUUGAACGCUAGCGGGAUGCUUUACACAUGCAAGUCGAACGGCAGCGCGGACUUCGGUCUGGCGGCGAGUGGCGAACGGGUGAGUAAUGUAUCGGAACGUGCCCAGUAGCGGGGGAUAACUACGCGAAAGCGUAGCUAAUACCGCAUACGCCCUACGGGGGAAAGCAGGGGAUCGUAAGACCUUGCACUAUUGGAGCGGCCGAUAUCGGAUUAGCUAGUUGGUGAGGUAACGGCUCACCAAGGCGACGAUCCGUAGCUGGUUUGAGAGGACGACCAGCCACACUAGGACUGAGACACGGCCCAGACUCCUACGGGAGGCAGCAGUGGGGAAUUUUGGACAAUGGGGGCAACCCUGAUCCAGCCAUCCCGCGUGUGCGAUGAAGGCCUUCGGGUUGUAAAGCACUUUUGGCAGGAAAGAAACGUCGCGGGCUAAUACCCCGUGGAACUGACGGUACCUGCAGAAUAAGCACCGGCUAACUACGUG